rnacentral:snoRNA from 1 species
AAGACCGUACUUGAACAGGAUCAUUUCUAUAGUGCAGUCAUCUUUACUUUGUUUUCCAAAGUAGACGAUACCAAUAACUUUGAGGAUCGGAAGC